rnacentral:rRNA from 1 species
CCUACGGGAGGCAGCAGUAGGGAAUCUUCCACAAUGGACGAAAGUCUGAUGGAGCAACGCCGCGUGAGUGAAGAAGGGUUUCGGCUCGUAAAGCUCUGUUGGUAGGGAAGAAAGAUAUAGGUAUUAACUGGCCUUUAUUUGACGGUAAUUACUUAGGAAGUCACGGCUAACUACGUGCCAGCAGCCGCGGUAAUACGUAGGUUGCAAGCGUUGUCCGGAUUUAUUGGGCGUAAAGCGAGUGCAGGCGGUUAACUAAGUCUGAUGUGAAAGCCUGGGGCUUAACCGUGGAACUGCAUUUGAAACUGGUGAGCUUGAGUACUGGAGAGGGAGAUGGAAUGCCAGGGGUAGCGGUGAAAUGCGUAGAGAUUAGGAGGAAUACCAGUGGCGAAGGCGGUCCGCUGGACAACGACUGACGGUGAGGCGCGAAAGCGUGGGGAGCAAACAGGAUUAGAUACCCGAGUAGUC